ACCUGUGUCGAAAGUGACUCUGGCAUGACUGUUGCCAUCGUCAUUGAUAGUGCAGGAACAGUGAUCUGAAAGCUUUUCCCGUGUUUGUUGGAAUAACUCUUCCUGUCAAACCCUGUGUCUUUCAAACA
ensembl:snoRNA SNORA71 Small nucleolar RNA SNORA71